UACGAAGGGGGCUAGCGUUGCUCGGAAUUACUGGGCGUAAAGGGCGCGUAGGCGGAUAGUUUAGUCAGAGGUGAAAGCCCAGGGCUCAACCCUGGAAUUGCCUUUGAUACUGGCUAUCUUGAGUUCGGGAGAGGUGAGUGGAACUCCGAGUGUAGAGGUGAAAUUCGUAGAUAUUCGGAAGAACACCAGUGGCGAAGGCGACUCACUGGCCCGUUACUGACGCUCAGGCGCGACAGCGUGGGGAUCAAACAGG
rnacentral:rRNA from 1 species